GAAUUUUCUUUAACUAGAGGGUUAAUAAAGAAAAAAUAACUUUUCAAGUUGACUAGUUAAAAAUCUUUAAAAAAUCGAGAAUCAAGAAUCGCCCAGCCUUAAUAUAUAUAUAUAUAUAUAUAUAUAUAUAUAUAUAUAUAUACAGUGGGUAUGGAAAGUAUUCAGACCCCCUUAAAUUUUUCACUCUUUGUUAUAUUGCAGCCAUUUGCUAAAAUCAUUUAAGUUGAUUUUUUUUCUCAUUAAUGUACACACAGCACCCCAUAUUGACAGAAAAACACAGAAUUGUGAGCCUGCCUGUGAGCUUCCAGAAUCGAACUAGAUGGCGGAUUCACCGGCUUGCUUUUCUACUCGCCGACGUAGGUAAGUGUGAUUUUUUAUUUAUUAUUAUUAUUAUUUUUUUUUAUCAAAGUCAGUGUUAGCCUGUGAUAUUAUUUACACACUGUUAUAUCUUUUUAUUGCAUGAAGUUACCAAUGACAAUUCUAUUUUUUUUAUAUCCAGUGAAUAGUAACAACAGCAAACUAAGUUAGCUUGUUAUUUCGAAUUUACCUUUUGUUAUUUAGCAUUCUAAUCAAAUGUCUGUGGUAUAUGUGAUCAUCCGUUUAAUUUUUAUUUUUCAUUUGUUUUGUAAAAUAUUUGUGUUAGACUGGGCUUUAUUUUACCAAUUUAUGUGGGGUUUAUUGAAAUGUGCGCUAAAGUUAUGUUAACAGUUAUAAUUAUACUAUAAUUAUUUUAUUAUUCUGUCAGAGAGAACCUUAAAGAUUGUCUGUGUUGGUCUAGUAAGAUUAUUUUGGUGUUACGGUGCGUAUAGGCUGAUACCUAUAUUUCAUACUGUUUCUGAACAUUAAUUUUGUUGUCUGCAUCAGCUGCUGGUGACAAAGUCACAAUUGGAGAUUUGAUGAUCAGUAUUGAAAGCCACAUCAUGUGAUGGCAUCCCAGAACUUUCUGCAGCUUUCACCAGCUAAUGUCUUCAACUUACAAAAACAAGAGAAAGGUACAAGGACACUGGAGUUUGUUCAAAGGUCUUCGGUUUCAUCCCAAGGAGUGGCAUCCCUCCACAUCCCAGUCUGCCCAUCGACCAGUGUGCAUAGGGGUCGCCGUGACGACCAGGCUCCAGUCGCCACGGAGACGGACAGACGACCCCACCCCAGCCCCUGCGCUUUCUCGUGUUACAGCGAGGCACGACCCUGCGCCUGCCAUAAGGUCACGGCCCGCAUAGUCCCUCUGGUACCCCGGGAGCGGCCAAAUAUCUUGCACUCUGUCCGCCUGCCAAUCUCCUCUGCCCCACAGAUGGCUCCAUAUUUCAGAUUUAUCACCGAAAAGCAAAGCCCUUCUUUAAAGGUCAGCCCUUUAAAAGCCGUCCGAUCAAUGGGACUAUUCCUGCAGGUGUGGUCAUGUAGAGUAUGUGUGGGUGCUGUGUGUUUAGUACUACAGUAGUCAGAUUUUUUUUAUGGUGGAUAAAUGUUGUUGUCUCACUAAUGUGUCUUGAGGUGCUGUAUCUUCAUAAUCUGCCUAACCCCUUUGCCCUCCAUCUGACCAUCUCUAUGGCCUCACGCUGGACCCGGCUACUAAUAAUAUAAUAAAUAUUUUAGAACGUCAUUAGCUCAUCAAAUUUAUGUAUAUUAUCUCAAAUCCUCUGGGUUUGUUCGGUGGGUCCAGCAAGAGUUAUUUUUCAGAUGAUCAAUAACUGAACUGCUUUUAGUUUGGUGCAGUCAUGGGUGACAUCUGUUCGCAAAAACCAAACACACAUCAUGUCACUGACACAAAACCGUUUGAAUUUCAUCAACUACCGUCAUCAUUAACGGAAUAGUUCACCCAAAAAUGAAAAUUCUGUCAACAUUUACUCUCCCUCAAGUCGAUCCAUAAAGAACACAACAUAAGGAUUUAUGAACAAAGUAAGGCUUUGUCUGUGCUCUUUUUUUCAUUUAAAAUUAGAGGCAACCACUGGAUUUUAAUCAUGAUCCAAACAAAGAUGCAGCAUACAUGCAGCAUGAGUAGUUUUUAAUCUAAAUUAGACUGUAUAAUUUCGAAAUUUGAAGCAAAAACAUAAUGGUCUGACUUUAGUUUUGUGAAACUAUACUACAUAAAACAUAUCUUAACGAAACAGCAGACAAGCUGAAUGAGACGCAGAUUCACUCUCUGACAGCAGAUGGCACUUAUGAACAGCAAUGAUACAGUGUUUCCUUGGUUACUGCUGUAAACAAAGCAGCUCUGCUAUGAUCACUACUUUAAUAUGCAUUAUUUAUACUCCUAUUCCAAUUGUAUUGCGAUUU
ensembl:lncRNA